UGAUCAGGGAAGACUACCCGCUGAGUUUAAGCAUAUCAA
rnacentral:rRNA from 1 species